UAACUGAAAACAAUUAUUUUAAAGAAUGGUGAACAUGGAUCAAGAUUUGGAGGAAAUGCUGGUUAUUGCCGAAAAGCAGGAUUGUCUCACUGUGGGAGGUCACGAGUCAGCCAAGCUGAUGAACAUAUGCAAAGGAUCACUGUCCUGCAGAACUACUGUAAUCCAAAUCUUCUACUGGGACAACACCAUUAACACCACAUGCAUAAAAGUGGCUGUGAAGCUGGAGGCGCGAAGGAAUUCUCCGGACCCUUUGAAGCCGGUCGACGCUUUGGCUGAAACACCCA